UACGUAGGGUGCAAGCGUUGUCCGGAAUUAUUGGGCGUAAAGAGCUCGUAGGCGGUCUGUCACGUCGGCUGUGAAAACCCGAGGCUCAACCUCGGGCCUGCAGUCGAUACGGGCAAACUAGAGUACUGCAGGGGAGACUGGAAUUCCUGGUGUAGCGGUGAAAUGCGCAGAUAUCAGGAGGAACACCGGUGGCGAAGGCGGGGUCUCUGGGGCAGUAACUGACGCUUGGAGGAGCGAAAAGCGUGGGGAGCGAACAGG
rnacentral:rRNA from 1 species